rnacentral:ncRNA from 1 species
CCAAAGGCUUGGAUUAGGACAGUAGUGCAGUGAAGAUGUUUUUAGAGAGGCGGCCGCUCGGUGGAAGGCUGUCAGCAUAUAGUGCAUGAAUAUCACCUAUGAGCCCGAAGGCUGAAAUCGUUAUGAGAAUAAGCCUUUGCGAUAGUGGAUGCGUUAAAUCCAUACAAAGUGUCAGACUUGAGGCGCAUUUUAUAAAAAUGCUUGGUUUGGUCUGUUCAUUUGGGUGGUACCGCGAGAAUAUUCGUCCCAAGU